AUACUUAUCUGGAUGGGGUCGAUGGCCGAAAGAAGGGUCAUGGCCUAAGUUAGCGGUCUCCAUUGCACUUGAGAGGAGCACUAACUUACCGUUUCCUUAAAUAGGAGAGCAGACGUCAUAAUUUAUGGAAGAUGAGGUACAUGUUCGCGCGGCCCCUAC